rnacentral:rRNA from 1 species
UACGGGGGGAGCAAGCGUUGUUCGGAUUUACUGGGCGUAAAGGGCGCGUAGGCGGUCGUGACAAGUCACUUGUGAAAUCUCCGGGCUUAACUCGGAACGGUCAACUGAUACUGCGGGGCUAGAGUGCGGAAGGGGCAACUGGAAUUCUUGGUGUAGCGGUGAAAUGCGUAGAUAUCAAGAGGAACACCUGCGGCGAAGGCGGGUUGCUGGGCCGACACUGACGCUGAGGCGCGAAAGCUAGGGGAGCGAACGGG